UGAGGUAGUUUUAAAUGUUAUGA
rnacentral:miRNA from 2 species